UGCUGAAGCACACUCAGUCUAU
rnacentral:misc_RNA from 1 species